AACGAACGCUGGCGGCAUACCUAACACAUGCAAGUCGAACGCCCUGGGCAACCAGGGAGUGGCGGACGGGUGAGUAACGCGUGGGGACCUGCCUCGAAGUUCGGAAUAACCGCGGGAAACUGCGGCUAAUACCGGAUGUGGCCUGAGGGCCAAAGGGGAAACUCGCUUCGAGAGGGGCCCGCGUCCGAUUAGCUAGUUGGUGAGGUAACGGCUCACCAAGGCGACGAUCGGUAGCUGGUCUGAGAGGAUGAUCAGCCACACUGGGACUGAGACACGGCCCAGACUCCUACGGGAGGCAGCAGUGGGGAAUAUUGGACAAUGGGGGCAACCCUGAUCCAGCAAUGCCGCGUGAGUGAUGAAGGCCUUCGGGUUGUAAAGCUCUUUUGGCGGGGACGAUGAUGACGGUACCCGCAGAAUAAGCCCCGGCUAACUUCGUGCCAGCAGCCGCGGUAAGAC
rnacentral:rRNA from 1 species